AUUGCUUUUUGCUUUUUAUUAUAUCUAUCGGAUUUUAAUAUAAAGAUUAAAAAUCUGUGUGAUACGAUUAUAAAAAUCUUUCGAAAGAUAUAUAGGUACUCCCUUAAAUUAGUAUUUUGUGAGGGAGGGCCCACCACGGUAGCUCGCUACUGGGGCCCUCAUGUGUCGCCUUGGCUUUGCACUGCUGCCUUGUCGCGGUGCACCCCAA
rfam:Oryza sativa (indica cultivar-group) chromosome 8, whole genome shotgun sequence.